rnacentral:rRNA from 1 species
GUCCACGCCGUAAACGAUGUCAACUAGCCGUCGGGAGCCCUGGUGCUCUUGGUGGCGUAGCUAACGCGCUAAGUUGACCGCCUGGGGAGUACGGUCGCAAGAUUAAAACUCAAAUGAAUUGACGGGGGCCCGCACAAGCGGUGGAGCAUGUGGUUUAAUUCGACGCAACGCGAAGAACCUUACCAGGUCUUGACAUCCUCAGAACUUUCCAGAGAUGGAUUGGUGCCUUCGGGAACUGAGAGACAGGUGCUGCAUGGCUGUCGU